rnacentral:rRNA from 1 species
ACGAACGCUGGCGGCGUGCUUAACACAUGCAAGUCGAACGGAAAGGCCCUGCUUUUGUGGGGUGCUCGAGUGGCGAACGGGUGAGUAACACGUGAGUAACCUGCCCUUGACUUUGGGAUAACUUCAGGAAACUGGGGCUAAUACCGGAUAGGAGCUCCUGCUGCAUGGUGGGGGUUGGAAAGUUUCGGCGGUUGGGGAUGGACUCGCGGCUUAUCAGCUUGUUGGUGGGGUAGUGGCUUACAAAGGCUUUGACGGGUAGCCGGCCUGAGAGGGUGACCGGCCACAUUGGGACUGAGAUACGGCCCAGACUCCUACGGGAGGCAGCAGUGGGGAAUAUUGCACAAUGGGCGGAAGCCUGAUGCAGCAACGCCGCGUGCGGGAUGACGGCCUUCGGGUUGUAAACCGCUUUCGCCUGUGACGAAGCGUGAGUGGCGGUAAUGGGUAAAGAAGCACCGGCUAACUACGUG